rnacentral:rRNA from 1 species
CCCUUAGAUGUUCUGGGCCGCACGCGCGCUACACUGAUGCAUUCAACGAGUCUAAAACCUGGUCUGAUAGGGCUGGGUAAUCUUUUGAAAGUGCAUCGUGAUUGGGAUAGAUGAUUGCAAUUCUUCAUCUUCAACGAGGAAUGCCUAGUAAACGCAAGUCAUCAGCUUGCAUUGAUUACGUCCCUGCCCUUUGUACACACCGCCCGUCGCUCCUACCGACUGAAUGAUCCGAUGAAUACCAUGGAUUGAGAGUACGAAUGGGUUUGCUCAUUUCUGCUGCUCGAGAAGUGGAGUAAAUCUUAUCAUUUAGAGGAAGGAGAAGUCGUAACA